rnacentral:rRNA from 1 species
UCCUACGGGAGGCAGCAGUUUCGAAUUUUUCGCAAUGGGCGAAAGCCUGACGGAGCGACGCCGCGUGGGGGAUGAAGGUCUUCGGAUUGUAAACCCCUGUCAGCUGGGAACAAGACCUUGAAGCUAAUAAUUUCAAGGUUUGAUAGUACCGGCAGAGGAAGCCGUGGCUAACUCUGUGCCAGCAGCCGCGGUAAUACAGAGACGGCAAGCGUUGUUCGGAUUUACUGGGCGUAAAGGGUCCGCAGGUGGCCAAGCAAGUCUGAUGUGAAAUCCCGCAGCUUAACUGCGGAACUGCAUCGGAAACUACUUGGCUGGAGGUUGGUAGAGGAGUCUGGAAUUCUUGGUGUAGCGGUGAAAUGCGUAGAUAUCAAGAGGAACACCGGUGGCGAAGGCGAGACUCUGGACCAUACCUGACACUCAGGGACGAAAGCGUGGGGAGCAAACGGGAUUAGAUACCCCGGU